rnacentral:siRNA from 1 species
AACCCAGACACAUACGUCACAGG